AAGGAGAGGUGCACUUUUUGGAUUUGUCGGUUUGUUCAACCUGUUUUUCCAUCCUCCUGCGAUGAUGACAGCUUGUGGGUGGUAACUUGUUUCCUUUCCUUUUGUUUGUUGACAUCUCUCACGAGAUCAGUGCCUAAACCUGCCUGAGCCCAUUAAUAAGAGACCCACAAUCAUCUACAAACCCAACAUCUCUUUGAAAGCACGCUGUACUCCAGCUCUCUCAUCAGCAAAACCGUGAGCGGCACUCCGGUUUUCUCCUGGGAAUACCAUCCUGACGUUAAUUGCCCAUUUAUGCAGCUGGGUUGACUGGAGAGAUCAGGCGGCCGCUGGACACUGCAGAGUCAGCAACAGGGAGGCCAGUGCAAGACUCCGCACAACAUCUACCACUCACACUAGAUACAGGCCAAUAUUAAGACUAAUGCACAUCGCGCCCUAAAAACCCAUUUUCC
rnacentral:lncRNA from 1 species